AUAUCCUGCCUGAGCCUGGGCCGGGUGGAGGUGUCCUGCAUGGAGUCUUGUGAAAUCGCGUGGACUGCAACACCCAGCAGCGCGCCGCCCUGGGUCCUGCCACUGAGCAGCUGUUGGUAGGCUCUGCUGUGAGGUCUCCUCUUCCGGCUUUCCCACUUCCCAAGUGUUGGUUAAGGAAUCCAGAUGUUACUGCAAUAACCACUCCAUAAACAAAAGGAACACCCAGCUGUGAGAACUGGCUUCUCAGCAUUCGUCCCAGCAGAGGCUCUUCUGGGGCCAGCCCUGGAAGAACCCAUCAGGGUUCUGAUGGUUGCCCUGUUUCAGCACAGCCCUUAUUGGCAGGCAGACGGCUACGGGCACAGCCACAGGCUGAAGCAGGUAUUUACCAAGCAGGGACUUUGGGCCAGGUCCGUGCUAGGCUCUGCAGGUGGACCAGCCAGCCCUGACCUCCAUGGUGUCUCUUCUCAUGGGAGAGGCUGCACAGCAGUCAUUGAGAAAACGAAGAAACACACAGGUACUUUCAGAUGCUGAUAAUGACUACCAUGUGCUAAAAGAGCUCCAGGUGUUGUCUGUUUUGAGACAAUCUUCUCGACAAUGAGAUAGAAUGAACCAUGCAAACUUUGGGGGCUACGAUGGUUUUAGGAAAGAGCUAGAGUGAAAAAUCCUUUGACAUAUAUACAUACAAAUAAAGAUACAUGUGUAUAAUUUUAUGUAAUUGACAUCACAUUAUAUGCUGGCACCUGCCUUUUUUGCUUAAUGAAAAUGUCAAAGGUAAUAUUACCAAUCAAUCAAUAUAUUUCACCAUCGUGUUUAAUUUCUGCAGAGCACUUAUUCAAGCACAUACUGCAUUUUUCUUAGUCACUCACUGGUGGGAAUAGAAAGUUUUCUCAGGCAUGCAUUUUUCCCACUUCUGAAAUGAUCUCCUUAGAAUAAAUUCCCCAAAUUGUAUUGCUGGGUUCAAAGGCAUGAACAUUUUACAUUUUUAUACAAUAAUGUCAAACUACCUUCCGGAAAUGAUGCUCACUUUACUUUCCCUCCAAGACUGUGUGAAAAUGCCCAUUUUCCUAAAUGCUUACUAUGACUGGUUUCCAACUACAUUUUAAUUCUUGUUCAAUCUGAUAGGCAAAAAAUGAUAUUUAAUUUUUAUUUGAUUGAUAAUGACCUUGAACGUGCCCAUUAGCCUUUUGCAUGUAUUCUUUUAUGAAACAUCUGUUCCUAUCCUUCGUCAAUGUUCCUCUUCAUAUGUUAACUUUUCUUAUUGAUUUGUUAGAGCACUUUGUAUAUUGUGAAUAUUAGCUUUUGUGAUCAGAAUUAUGGAAUUGUUGUUGUCUUUAGUUUUGCUUAUCAAGUUUAAAGCCAUUCAGAGAUGUUGUAAAUGUGUAUGUUGUUAAAUUUAUGUCUUAUUUUGUGUUUUCUGAUGCUCAUAUGUUUAGAAUGGUCAAGCAAUCCCAACUUAUGAUUACUUAAAUAUUCUCCCAUAUUUGCUCUUAGCAUUUUUUUUCUUUUCAUGUAACCCUUUGUUCUUUCAGGAAUUUACUUUGCGGUAAGAAAUGGGCUGGCUUCCAGUUUUAUGUUUCCCAAAUGGUGAUUCAGCUGUUCCAUUUCCAUAUUCUCCCUUAUUAGAAAUGACCACUAUAUUAUGUUCUAAAAUAUCUGCGUACUUGUGUCCCUUCCUAUAAUCUCAGUUCAUCUCUUUGAGCUAUCUUUUGAUUCCUUUUUCAAACCACACUGCUUUACUGAACUGUCAUCAUCUUAUACAUUUUUAAUACUCAGCAAGACAAGUUUCUCAAUGCCACUCUUUUUCAGAGUUUUUCUGGUGGUUGUAAGAUGUUUAUUCUUCUGGAUAAACUUUAGAAUCACUCUUUUUGUCCAAGGUAAAAUAUAUCCCACAUUGAGAUCAUACUGAAUAUACAGACUAAUUCAGGAAAAAAUGUAUGUCUUUAUUGCAUUGAGUCUUCUUAUCCAAUAAAAAAGAUAUGAAUUUCCAUGUAUUGAAAUCUUCACUGAGACUUAUUUUUGGCUUUUCACAUGUCCUGCAAAUGUAUUGUUAAAUUUAUUUUUAGGUAUUUUAGGGGAAAUGAUUUUCUAAAGUUUGUAUUUUCUAGCUUGUUAUAAUUUACAUAUGAGAUAGUCAUUGUUGUAUAUUAUUUAUAACUGAUCAUAUUACUGUAUUUGUAUUGUUUUAAUAGUUUUUCUAUUAUUUUGGGUUUUCCUGGAAUACAACCUUAUUAUCUACAAAUUAUGAUUGUUUUGCCUUUUCCAAUGUUCAUAACUGUUUUUAUAUUCUUGUCUGAUUGCUUUGUUCAGCACUUCUAGAAUAAAGUCAUGCAAUACUAAUGAU
rnacentral:lncRNA from 1 species